rnacentral:rRNA from 1 species
CCUACGGGAGGCAGCAGUGGGGAAUAUUGCACAAUGGGGGAAACCCUGAAGCAGCGACGCCGCGUGAGUGAAGAAGUAAUUCGUUAUGUAAAGCUCUAUCAGCAGGGAAGAAAAUGACGGUACCUGAGUAAGAAGCCCCGGCUAACUACGUGCAAGCAGCCGCGGUAAUACGCAGGGGGCAAGCGUAAUCCGGAUUUACUGGGUGUAAAGGGAGCGUAGAGGGCAGUGCAAGGCAGGAGUGAAAGGCGGGGGCCCAACGCCCGGACUGGUCGGGAAACUGGACGGCUGGCGUGCAGGAGAGGGAAGUGGAAUUCCUAGUGUAGCGGUUAAAUGCUUAGAUAUUAGGAGGAACACCAGUUGCGAAGGCGGCUUACUGGACUGUAACUGACGUUGAUGCUCGAAAGCGUGGGGAGCAAACAGGAUUAGAUACCCCAGUAGUC